GUCGUCAGCUCGUGUCGUGAGAUGUUGGGUUAAGUCCGCAACGAGCGCAACCCUUUUCCUUAUUUGCCAGCGGGUAAUGCCGGGAACUUUAAGGAUACUGCCAGUGACAAACUGGAGGAAGGCGGGGACGACGUCAAGUCAUCAUGGCCCUUACGGCCAGGGCUACACACGUGCUACAAUGGUCGGUACAAAGGGUUGCUACCUCGCGAGAGGAUGCUAAUCUCAAAAAGCCGAUCGUAGUCCGGAUCGCAGUCUGCAACUCGACUGCGUGAAGUCGGAAUCGCUAGUAAUCGCGGAUCAGAAUGCCGCGGUGAAUACGUUCCCGGGCCUUGUACACACCGCCCGUCACACCAUGGGAGUUUGUUGCACCAGAAGUAGGUAGUCUAACCGCAAGGAGGACGCUUACCACGGUGUGGCCGAUGACUGGGGUGAAGUCGUAACAAGGUAAGCGUAGAUGA
rnacentral:rRNA from 1 species